rnacentral:rRNA from 1 species
UGCCAGCCGCCGCGGUAAGACGAACCGUCCAAACGUUAUUCGGAAUCACUGGGCUUAAAGGGUGCGUAGGCGGCUAUUCAGGUCUGAUGUGAAAUCUUUCGGCUCAACCGGAAAAUUGCGUUGGAAACCGGAUGGCUUGAGUGUGCUAGGGGUGUGUGGAACUUCCUGUGGAGCGGUGAAAUGUGUUGAUAUGGGAAGGAACGCCGGUGGCGAAAGCGACACACUGGGGCAUAACUGACGCUGAGGCACGAAAGCUAGGGUAGCGAACGGGAUUAGAUA